AACGCGUAUCCAACCUGCCCAUCACUUGGGGAUAACCUUGCGAAAGUAAGACUAAUACCCAAUGACGUCUCUAGAAGACAUCUGAAAGAGAUUAAAGAUUUAUCGGUGAUGGAUGGGGAUGCGUCUGAUUAGCUUGUUGGCGGGGUAACGGCCCACCAAGGCGACGAUCAGUAGGGGUUCUGAGAGGAAGGUCCCCCACAUUGGAACUGAGACACGGUCCAAACUCCUACGGGAGGCAGCAGUGAGGAAUAUUGGUCAAUGGGCGAGAGCCUGAACCAGCCAAGUAGCGUGCAGGAUGACGGCCCUAUGGGUUGUAAACUGCUUUUAUAAGGGAAUAAAGUGAGUCUCGUGAGGCUUUUUGCAUGUACCUUAUGAAUAAGGACCGGCUAAUUCCGUGCCAGCAGCCGCGGUAAUACGGAAGGUCCGGGCGUUAUCCGGAUUUAUUGGGUUUAAAGGGAGCGUAGGCCGGAGAUUAAGCGUGUUGUGAAAUGUAGACGCUCAACGUCUGCACUGCAGCGCGAACUGGUUUCCUUGAGUACGCACAAAGUGGGCGGAAUUCGUGGUGUAGCGGUGAAAUGCUUAGAUAUCACGAAGAACUCCGAUUGCGAAGGCAGCUCACUGGAGCGCAACUGACGCUG
rnacentral:rRNA from 1 species